rnacentral:rRNA from 1 species
GGACGGGUGAGUAAUACUUAGGGAUCUGCCCUUUGGAGGGGGAUAACUAUUGGAAACGAUAGCUAAUACCGCAUAUUACCUACGGGUAAAAGGGGGGUGCUUGCACCUCCCGCCAAAGGAGGAACCUAAGCGAGAUUAGCUAGUUGGUGAGGUAAAGGCUCACCAAGGCAACGAUGGGUAGGGGGCCUGAGAGGGUGGUCCCCCACACUGGUACUGAGACACGGACCAGACUCCUACGGGAGGCAGCAGUGAGGAAUAUUGGUCAAUGGAGGAAACUCUGAACCAGCCAUGCCGCGUGAAGGAUGACGGCCCUAUGGGUUGUAAACUUCUUUUAUAGAGGAAGAAACUUGUCUACGUGUAGACAACUGACGGUACUCUACGAAUAAGGAUCGGCUAACUCCGUGCCAGCAGCCGCGGUAAUACGGAGGAUCCAAGCGUUAUCCGGAUUCAUUGGGUUUAAAGGGUCCGUAGGCGGAUUUUUAAGUCAGUGGUGAAAGCCGACAGCUCAACUGUCGAACUGCCAUUGAUACUGGAAAUCUUGAGUACAAAUGAAGUAGGCGGAAUGAGUCAUGUAGCGGUGAAAUGCAUAGAUAUGACUCAGAACACCGAUUGCGAAGGCAGCUUACUAACAUGUAACUGACGCUGAGGGACGAAAGCGUGGGGAGCGAACAGGAUUAGAUACCCUGGUAGUCCACGCCGUAAACGAUCAUCACUCGCUGUUG